rnacentral:rRNA from 1 species
GAUGAACGCUGGCGGCGUGCCUAAUACAUGCAAGUAGAACGCUGAAGCUUGGUGCUUGCACCGAGCGGAUGAGUUGCGAACGGGUGAGUAACGCGUAGGUAACCUGCCUGGUAGCGGGGGAUAACUAUUGGAAACGAUAGCUAAUACCGCAUAACAGUAGAUAUUGCAUGAUAUCUGCUUGAAAGGGGCAAUUGCUCCACUACCAGAUGGACCUGCGUUGUAUUAGCUAGUUGGUGAGGUAACGGCUCACCAAGGCGACGAUACAUAGCCGACCUGAGAGGGUGAUCGGCCACACUGGGACUGAGACACGGCCCAGACUCCUACGGGAGGCAGCAGUAGGGAAUCUUCGGCAAUGGGGGGAACCCUGACCGAGCAACGCCGCGUGAGUGAAGAAGGUUUUCGGAUCGUAAAGCUCUGUUGUAAGAGAAGAACGAGUGUGAGAGUGGAAAGUUCACACUGUGACGGUAUCUUACCAGAAAGGGACGGCUAACUACGUGCCAGCAGCCGCGGUAAUACGUAGGUCCCGAGCGUUAUCCGGAUUUAUUGGGCGUAAAGCGAGCGCAGGCGGUUAGAUAAGUCUGAAGUUAAAGGCUGUGGCUUAACCAUAGUACGCUUUGGAAACUGUUUAACUUGAGUGCAGAAGGGGAGAGUGGAAUUCCAUGUGUAGCGGUGAAAUGCGUAGAUAUAUGGAGGAACACCGGUGGCGAAAGCGGCUCUCUGGUCUGUAACUGACGCUGAGGCUCGAAAGCGUGGGGAGCAAACAGG